rnacentral:rRNA from 1 species
GAUGAACGCUGGCGGCGUGCCUAACACAUGCAAGUCGAGCGGCAGCGAGCUGUGCUUGCACCCUGCCGGCGAGCCGCGGACGGCUGAGUAACGCGUGUGAACUUCCCCCAACGUGAGGAAAAACUCAGCGAACGGGGAGCUAUUACCGCUAAGUGUCUUCGCAUCAAAGGGUUUAUUGGCUUUGUUCGCGGGUCGGGUCUGAUUACGCAGUUGGUGAGGUAGUGGCUGACCAAGUCGACGACCCGGGGCUGGUCUGGGAGGAUGACCAACCAGACUGGAACUGAGACACGGUCCCGACUGCUACGGGAGGCAGCAGUGUGGAAUAUUACACAAGGGGCGAAGGCCUGGUGGAGCAACGCGGCGUACAGGACGAAGGCCUUCGGGUUGUGAACUGCUUUUAUAAGUGAGGAAUAUGACGGUAACGUAUGAAUAAGGAUCGGCUAACUACGUG